CAAGAUUCUGAUGAAGGCAUUCUGUAAGUGGAAUAGUAUAAAUCUAUAUAAAUUAUGUUUUGCUGCCUGGAAUUAAGACACAAGAUGCUACUGAAAUUUUCAACUUUACACUUUUAAUCAAGUUUUAGCAGUUGUACUGUUGCGUGGUUUUAUAGGAAACUCCAUCAUGGGGCGACUUUUUACAAAGUGGGAGAACUCAUCUGCACACACACGAGCUGCAGAUGUCAGGAUGGUGAGAAUUACUUUUCCAGUUAAUACAUAUAUAUAUUAUUAUUCCAAAGCAAGAUUUAAAUUUUAAUACUGUAAUUUGUGUCAGUAUUCCCAAUCACUACUCAGUAACAUAUUCCAGGAAAACAUGCAGUAGAACUUAUAAAAAAACCUUUACAGAUACAAGUCUCUGUUAGAGGAAGAUAAUUCCUGAUCUCUGUUGUUCCUGAAUGAACCGUUGUUCUAUUUCUCAGCUCUGCUUAAUACAAACAGCUAGUUAAUUAUGGCUAAAAAUUCUUAUCUUUUUCACCUUCACAGUUUCUGUAAAAAAUAAUUUCCAAAGGCAUCGCUGUGCCUUUAUGAAAAAAGAAACAAACACGUUAUCUGUCAUUGUCUCAGUAGAAGUGAUUUAAAUAACUGUGCCUAUCAAUUAACUGUAGAAUUUUACAUUGAUUUAUCUAAAGCAUUUAUUGAUAUUCAAAAUCUAUUUGGCAGCUUUGAUCAGAGAAGUGAGUGCAGGAGAACUGAGAGUUACCAGGUUAUAUUCCUCAUCUGAGUUACUUAUUUCCUUACUGUUGUGAAGCUGCUGCCUUUGUGAGCACCUGCUUAAUUGGUUUUACUGGAAGGGUACUGCUACGUCAAGCUGAGGGCUCCAUGUGUUCGCUCUGUAGCCAGGGGCAACCCUGCCUCUUCCAGCAACGUAGCUGAAGUAGGCAUGGAAUGAAGUGGGGCAAAGGGUCAAGGUUUUGUACCCAGGAGGAGGGUAUCUACUGUAGUCCUCCUUAGAGCAGAACGUCAGGAGGAAUUUGAAUGCUUCAAUAAUACACCUUUAUGCUUGGGAUUGUUUUUUAAGUCAGACAGCUUACCUCAAGAAGUGGCAGUUUCCAGAACAUCAGAAUGGAAUCUUCCUUGACUGCUAAUUAAGGGAGGGGCAGGACUGUGCAGUCUGACUGCAGGUGGUGGCAAUUUCCCAACUCACCAGUGAACAUCUUCCUAUUUUCAGGCUUUCUCUCCCUUUGCAGCGGGCUAAAAACUAUUUCCUGAAUGCAUUAGCUUAUGCUUAGUCCCCUCCCUGUGCCUGAUCAAUUGCUUAACCAGAAAGCGACAUAGGUUUAAGGUACUGCGUAACUCACGGUACUGUAGAGCACGUUCUAGCACAGAGGGGUACCAACAUACACAUACCUACUGCAGAGUAUUUGUUCAGAUAAAUAGUCUUUGAAAUGUAGUAUCACAGUAAUUCAGCUAAUCGGGGCUCCAGUGGUAACAAGCUUAUAGUAUGCUCCUUCCAUUGCCAUUAGUUCAUCAUGAGUGCCCCUUUCAAUGAUGAUUCCUUGUGACAUCACAGCAAUGAUGUCAGCAUUCUCGAUUGUGGAAAGGCGGUGGGCAAUGACGAUGCAGGUGCGCCCUUCUCUGGCCUUAUCCAGCGCUGCUUGCACAGUCUAAAAGCAACAAAGAAAGCAUCAGAGUGAAAAUGGGCAAAUCAAAUUAGGGCUCAGAGCUGGAGAGAUCUGAUUGCUUCAGACUAAUUAACUAUAUUGUACAAUACUUGUACAAAAAAGGGAAAGAUAAAAAUAGAGUAAAAAUUAAACAGCAAGGAAAAUCUUUUUUUCAGCUGACAUGCUCAGCUUGGAUGUGCUUCUAAAUUUCUACCAUUUCUCUAAUCUCCAAGCAUGACCAAGCCAAGGAAUUUAUUGCCCAGCUCUUAGGCCCUGCACUGCUGGUUUUAUUGGAUAUUCAGACUCAUCAUUUGUAUGCUUGAAUACACUUCUGUUGUGAUUUAGGUUGUUUUUAUGUGCAAAAGCUGAAAGAUUCCCACUGAAUGCUGUGAGACCCAGGGAAUUAGUAUGCACAGUACAUAGAAAGUGCUGCUUCUUAAUGACAGUUUAAGAGUCUCUGUAGCUGGCUGUUGACUUUAUAGCCAUGCUUCCUGGAUCUUUCAAAAAGAUCAUUAAAAGUGUAAGUGCUGAAUUAGCAAUGGGGAAUAAUGCUGUGGUCAUGUGGUCUUUGUACAGCAGGAGGUCUCCACAAAAAAGAAGGCAGCAUUGUACCUUGUAAGCCAUUGCAUUAAUUUUCCCUUAUUUCGUAUUGCAAAUUUACCUUUUCACUUUCUGUGUCUAAUGCAGAUGUAGCUUCAUCCAAUAAUAAAAUUUUAGGAUCUCGAAUGAUGGCCCUCGCUAUAGCAAUGCGUUGUUUUUGCCCACGAGACAGCUGAGAUCCUUGAGCACCAACAUUAGUUUCAUAUUUCUGAAAAAUAUGCAAAAGGAAGAUCUUUAUGUAGCUGUAAACAAACAAGUACACAAACUGAAGGAGCAGCAGGAGGAGAGAGGCCGGAGCUCUCACCAUUGCUGUCUCUUAAUGAAUCUGGGAAGACAGAAAUGCUUUAAGAGCAAUACAGAUGUUCAAGGACAUAUCUUUGAACCAGCUUUGUAGUGCCGUAACAGGCCUAAAAAAUUCAAUGGCAAGAUGAUGGCUGAUUUGUCUGAAGCAAAAGAAAUCCCUGACCUAGAUUUGGGAGAAGAGGCUAAAAGUGAUUGUGGGGCUCACUGGACAAGUGUUUUGUUUGCAAGCCUAAAUUAUAUACAUAUCUUUCAUGUUCUUAUUUUUUUUUGUCUGUAUGAUUUCAGUGCAUUUAAAUACCUCUCCAGUGCACAUAAGCAGCCAGCUUCAAGUGUUUUGACUGAGGUACUGUACCUUUAUUGCAGGGCAGCACUCCCACAGCUGAGAACAGGAUCUGUAUUUCCUGACACUCUGUAACACUGUGACUGCUGAACUAUACUUCCUCUUUUUUCUUGUCAGUUACUUUGAGAAUCUUCCCUUUUCUCCUAAUUUAGAAUUAUGUUAUUUUUAGCUUCAUAAAUGUUUGCCUACUGUGUAAAGAAAACAGUAACAACUCACACCCAAGCUCUCCGAAACAGAGUGGUCUUUUCUCCUACCAUUCUAGUUGUAAAGCAAGACAUAAAAUAUUAACUGCAGCAAUUUUAACCGGUUUUGGUGCAACUCUCUGCAGUGACCGCUGAGCAGCCUGUCCCACAGCCAAGCCUCAGGUGUACUUACUUCAGGAAGUGACAUGACAAAAUCAUGCAGCUGAGCCUUCUUCGCUGCUUCUAUGACUUUUUCCAUUGUCGUGUCCUUGGUGUUACUGCCGUACUUAAUGUUGUCAGCGAUGCUGCAGUCGAAUAGCACAGGCUCCUGCGACACUACUCCAAUUUUCGAUCUGAGAAACUGUACAUUUACUUUCUUGGUGUCGUGUCCAUCUAUUAACUACCAGGAAAUAGAAUAAAAUGUAAAAUAUUAUUCCAAAAUGAUCUGCAAAGCCCAGUUAGUUUAUAGCAUAAGUAAAUGAUUUAUUACUAAACUACAAGCAAGACUGACUUGAGGUAAGUUGAAGUAUCUGUUACAUUUGACCUCUUUAUACAUGAUGAAUACUUUCCAGCUGUGUCUGUGAUUCAGACAAACUCUAAACCAUUUGCUUACUCUUAUCUCCAGCUGAACUUUUGACUGCCUCAGGUUAGGCACAGGUUUUGCUGCCUUGACAGGCUUAAUCAUCACCACUCAUAUUUUUGUCAAAUAAUGAGAUAGCAUACUGGAUGAUUCAGUUUUUACGAGGAAGAGUUAUAAAAGCUAGAUAAACAUAAUCUGCAAAGAAGCUGCAUGUUGAAACUAUAUAUUAUUUAGUGAUGUUCCAGAUUGUGUUGCUUCAGUCAAGCUUGAUUCUUGUUUGUGUUCCCACAACAUCAGCCACACAUUGCAUGAUUCAUACAGGAGCUACCAACACAAUUUCCUGAGGCCUAUAUAAUGCAGGAGGUUGCACCCAAGGUGAGUACUGUUCUUAUUUUGCCUGAGUACAUCUGAGAUGAUACGCAGAGUUUGAACAGGCCUCAUUUGAGAAGGAGCUGAAAACCCAAACUGCACGUGUAGAGACACACUGCUAGGUUCCACGUUUGGACACACUCAGAAGAGUCCUUGCAGCAUUGCUGAAGACAACAGUACAGAAAUCAUGUUUUCUUUGCUUACCACACUUCCUUCCUCAGGAUCAUAGAAACGCUCCAGAAGCUGGACACUGGUGCUCUUACCACAGCCGCUACUGCCAACAAAUGCCAAUGUCUGUCCAGGCUUAACAGCUACAGAGAGUCCUUUCAGGACCUGAAUAUCAGGCCGCGAGGGGUAUGUGAAUUUACAGUUAAGAAAUUCAAUGCUCCCCUUGAAAUCAUCCUAGUGAAAAAAUGAAAAACUGCAAUGAUCUCAAGCUCAAAACUGAGUCAUAAAGUAGAAAAUAACUCCUCCUCAAAUUCAUUUCUUCCAUCUGUUAUUUAAAAUGUGAUAUUAGUGCUCAUGAAAUUAGCCUAGAAAGAGGCAUUAGAAACUUACUGGCACAGCUGUUCUACAAGGUGAAGUCAUUAGUCAUUAAACUGAUGCUCUACUGCCCAUCCCUGUGCUACACCAGCCAGAAGCAACAACUGUGGGAUUACCUUGCCAACUGGAAGCCGGUCGAUGAGUUGAAACAAACGUGCAGCAGAUGUUUUGGCUUUGGCGUAGUUCGGGGUGUAGGAAGAAGCUCUUCCCAAAGCAGUCCCACUGGUCACGAUUGCAGAGAUCACUCUGCAGAAAAGGUGGACGUGGUUACUCUUGGGCAGCCAUCGGGAAGCUGCGCGCUCCGCCUGGACCAGCACCUCUGGAGAGGAGGUCUGUGCCCGGCCCCAUGCAGGCUCCUACCUGAACACAAAGCUGUAAUGGAGCCCUUCAGUUUGAACCAGAAAUCCUCCAUAUCUGUAAGAGACAGAGUUGGCUAUGAACACUAUACUCUGGGCAAAGCCAAAGCAGAUUCCAUAAACGUUUGCUUUUUUGAUUGCAGCUCUGUAUGGCAUAUCCAGGUUCUUCUCAAAAGCAUCAAUGAACUUUUUUUCUUUCCCUAUCCCAGCCACAGUUCUGAUGUUAGAGAGGGCUUCACUGGAAAUCUGGAGGAGGAAAAAAAACAACAAAAAAGUAAAAUCACCCUGCUUAUCUCAAGUAAUUUUACUCAGAAAUUGGUUUAACAAUGCUGUCGUUUGCCUGGAGUUCAAUAGUAGUUUCAGGGUAUGACAUUUCCUGUAUUUUCAGCAUACACGUGUUUUUAUCACAUAGAAAGAGAUCUCAAUAUAUAAACCAUUACAAAGUAUGCCAUUCAAUUUCAGGGUAUUUCUUCUGGUCAAAAUUAAGGGUCACAUCCAUUGCAUUAUCACACAACUUGAAGCAGCAGAUAAUUAGGUACAGUGCAUUUGAUUGUUCAGACAAUCUGUUCUGCUUUUCCAUGUUUAACAUGGCUGAGGAACAGUCACAGUGGAGGAACAUUAAGCUUUUUUUGUUUGGAUGCAAUGCUUGAAAAUGAAUUAGAAAAUAGCACCAGACAUAAUCAGUCAUUGCCAAAACUGCUGAAGCAUUGAGUGCCCUUUUUAUCCCAGCCUCUGAGUUGUUCUAUUUAAUAAAAG
rnacentral:lncRNA from 1 species